GACGGAGGGUGCUAGCGUUGUUCGGAAUGACUGGGCGUAAAGGGCGCGUAGGCGGCUCGUGAAGUCGGGUGUGAAAGCCCGGGGCUCAACCCCGGAACGGCAUCCGAUACUGGCGGGCUUGAGACCGGGAGAGGAGGGUGGAAUACCCAGUGUAGAGGUGAAAUUCGUAGAUAUUGGGAAGAACACCGAUGGCGAAGGCAGCCAUCUGGACCGACACUGACGCUGAGGCGCGAAAGCGUGGGGAGCAAACAGG
rnacentral:rRNA from 1 species